UUGCUCUUCAACGAGGAAUGCCUAGUAAGCGCAUGUCAUCAGCAUGCGUUGAUUACGUCCCUGCCCUUUGUACACACCGCCCGUCGCUACUACCGAUUGAAUGGCUCAGUGAGGCCUUCGGACUGGCUCGAAGAGGUUGGCAACGACCACUUCGAGCCGGAAAGUUGGUCAAACUCGGUCAUUUAGAGGAAGUAAAAGUCGUAACAAGGUUUCCGUAGGUGAACCUGCGGAAGGAUCAUUACCUAGAGUUGUAGGCUUUGCCUGCUAUCUCUUACCCAUGUCUUUUGAGUACCUUCGUUUCCUCGGCGGGCCCGCCCGCCGAUCGGACAUAUUCAAACCCUUUGCAGUUGCAAUCAGCGUCUGAACAAACUUAAUAGUUACAACUUUCAACAACGGAUCUCUUGGUUCUGGCAUCGAUGAAGAACGCAGCGAAAUGCGAUAAGUAGUGUGAAUUGCAGAAUUCAGUGAAUCAUCGAAUCUUUGAACGCACAUUGCGCCCCUUGGUAUUCCAUGGGGCAUGCCUGUUCGAGCGUCAUUUGUACCUUCAAGCUUUGCUUGGUGUUGGGUGUUUGUCUCGCCUCUGCGCGCAGACUCGCCUCAAAACAAUUGGCAGCCGGCGUAUUGAUUUCGGAGCGCAGUACAUCUCGCGCUUUGCACUCAUAACGACGACGAUCCAAAAGUACAUUUCUACACUCUUGACCUCGGAUCAGGUAGGGAUACCCGCUGAACUUAAGCAUAUCAAUAAGCGGAGGA
rnacentral:rRNA from 1 species